CCUCAACUGCGUUAGUUCCUGAAUUCUUGAAUUCCCUCAACUGCGUUUGAUUCUUUGUUUGAUUGAAUGGAUUUUGGUUUUUCUUUCAAUGGAUUUUGGUUCUUUCUCGGAGAUUUAAUAUGUGAUUGUAGUUUGCUUGAUUCCCCCCUUUGGUUGCUACGUUUGAUGCAGUUGGCAGUUUUGGUGAGCACAAUGCGGCUUGUCUUCCUAUAUCUGGGGGAAGACACUUUCCUUUUUGCUGCUCCAUGUUUUUCUGCUGCUGGUACUUUGUUAGAGAGGUUUGGCUUCUUCAUAGGAAAUCCUAGCUGAGAAUGUGUCUUCUCCGCCUUUUUGACUUAAGGUUUAGUGAAAAAGAAGUAGCAGCUGAGGACACGACACAAUGAGCCUCACUGCCGCUAAGAACUUUAAAGUACAUCCUUUGAUUCUCCUCACAUGAUUACUCACUUGAACAACCAAGUGCACUGUUGGUUUGGAUGCUUGAUAUCUGAUGAUGAAGUUGAAGAUGCAUUGUGAGCAAUUGGUUUGGAUGCUUGAUAUACUGCUGAUCUCAUCAAUGAGAAUGAAUCGAUAUGUUGCAGGUGGUUUGACUUCUAUAGGGCUGAAUUUAUGAGGCUUGGUGAUACUGUUGCAGUUCACCAAAUGCAGUUAUAGAAAAUGCCUCAGCCAAAUAGAUUCAGGGUUCAUGUAUUCACCCUAUAAUCUAUCUUGAAGAGGUUGUAACUUUGAUUAAUCUCUUUUGAUUAUCUUAUAUGGACUUUUCUUGAAUUGUAGUACUUUGUGUGUUUAUAUGUGGAACUUGAAUUUCUUGCAA